GACGAACGCUGGCGGCGUGCUUAACACAUGCAAGUCGAACGGGCUCUGUCUGGCUGUGUGCUGGGUGGGGUUAGUGGCGAACGGGUGAGUAAUACGUGAGUAACCUGCCCUCUUCUUUGGGAUAAGCCUUGGAAACGGGGUCUAAUACUGGAUAUUCCUGUCUGGUCGCAUGGCUGGGUGGGGAAAGUUUUUUUCGGUGGGGGAUGGGCUCGCGGCCUAUCAGCUUGUUGGUGGGGUGAUGGCCUACCAAGGCGUCGACGGGUAGCCGGCCUGAGAGGGUGACCGGCGACACGGGGACUGAGAUACGGCCCAGACUCCUACGGGAGGCAGCAGUGGGGGAUAUUGCACAAUGGGCGCAAGCCUGAUGCAGCGACGCCGCGUGGGGGAUGACGGCUUUCGGGUUGUAAACCUCUUUCGUCGGGGGACAAGGCUCUGCUUGGUGGUGGGGUUGAGGGUACCCGGUGAAGAAGCGCCGGCUAACUACGUGC
rnacentral:rRNA from 1 species